AGAGAAAACGUAAAGCAGCUGAGGAUCCAUCCUCCAUUGCCGCUGCAGUGCCAUCCUGCCAUGGCGAUGGCGUCCACCCUUGCGCUCCUCCUCGCACCCCGGCCCGUCCAGGCGAGGCCCACAUCACCUCAUCUCCAAUCCCGCCGCCUCGCUCUUCCUCCUCCCCGACCGGCCACCCUCUCCGCCCCAGCCGCCACCUACCCGCGCAAGGCCGGGCGCCUCCAGCAGCUCAACGCCGCCUCCUGCUGCAGCAAUUCCGCUCCGGCUGCAGGCACCACUGGAGGAAGCGCUACUGGCGUAAAGGAUUGGCGGUUCUUCUUGGCAUGGUACUUGAUGUCUCUCGAUAAGAACCCGAUUGCAACUAAGGCGGUCACUUCUGCUGUCCUAACACUGGCCGGGGACCUCAUCUGCCAGCUUGUAAUUGAUCGAGUUCCAGCACUUGAUUUAAGGAGAACAUUUGUAUUCACAUUUUUGGGGCUUGCCCUCGUGGGGCCAACUUUACAUGUCUGGUACCUUUAUUUGAGUAAAUUAGUGACAAUCAGCGGAGCAUCAGGUGCCAUUGCUCGCCUUUUACUUGAUCAGUUCAUUUUCGCUCCCAUUUUCAUCGGCAUUUUUAUGAGCUUACUAGUCACCUUGGAGGGAAAGCCCUCUCUUGUAGUGCCACAGCUUAAGCAGGAGUGGUUAUCAUCAGUGUUGGCAAAUUGGCAAUUAUGGAUACCGUUUCAGUUUCUGAAUUUUUACUUUGUUCCUCAGAAGUUUCAGGUGCUUGCUGCUAAUUUUGUAGCCCUUGCAUGGAACGUGAUUUUGUCAUUUAAGGCUCACAAGGAGGUUAUUGCGAAAUAGAUGGCUGUCCGGCGAGCAAUUUUCCCUAGAACAGUAUAUCUGUGAUAGUGCAUGCACAUAUUUCUCUUUCCUGAUUACUUAAUGAUAUUGAAACUGAUGUGCGCUAUAUGAUGACAUGCAUCAUGGAAGUAGCUGGAAUAGUGGACCAGCAUCCACCAAAGUGUUUUUUUAUAGGUUUAGGAAUACACUGUCCGCUCAUCCUGGGCUCCACUAAGACACGUGUUUGAACUGUGACUGUGUAUCAAAUUUUUUCUUGCUUUUUUGUUCCUACUAUCAAAUAAAAUAGGGAGAUAAGGUUCGCAUACUAAUCCCCUUAACAAAUGGUUAUUGUUCCUUGGCUUAUCUUUUCUGCCACCCGAAAGCAACCUUGUGGACUUGUUCUGAAGUUAUUGUCACUUGUCAUCCCAAAAGUCAGAGUGUCAGACCAGGAUAACUUCCUAUGCCUUUUGCAAUUCAACAUGAUGUUGAUUGAUGCUAAAGAUGUUUUUUGUUCUUUUGCAUCUUGUGGCUAACCUUGGCAUCUAGAUAGAAGCCUCUGUGUGCGUGGUCAAAAUGUUGUUCCGGCUUUGUAUGGUCUGACUUGAUUGCCAGCAUCACAAACUGUAUGGCACAUUGCGGAUUUUAUGUCAAUUUUACUGUGGUGAUGAAACGUCUCACUAUUUGUCUCCCCAUCCCGAACUCCAAUAAGACGUGUUUUAAUAGUAGUUAGUGAAAUGAAAGGGUUAAAGAGAGGAGGCGGCAGUAGGCAUUGUGUAUGCCUCUGAGCUUCUCUUCCCUUUUCCUUUUGGCCAGCCCAGGUCUGUUUCUCUUUGCUUUAUUCCAUGACAAUGAGCUUUCAUUCCUGGACCUAUUUUUCUGCCACCCAGGGAAGUAAGCAGCACUGUGGAUGACUUGUGACUGCUGGUUGUAACUUGACCUCCAAAGUCAGACCUGUCAGCUUCCACCUUUAGCAAUUUAUAAUACAAUCCUGACUGAUGCCAGAAGAUACCUUUUAUUCUUUUGCAAAAAGUCUUAAAAAAUCAAAGAGAUGGAUGUGGUCAAAAUAUUGCUGUUCCGGAUUACAUUCUUCCAUGGCUCAUGGCUGGCAGCACUAUUAACGCAUUGUGUGAGCAGUAGAAGUUGAUUUUCUUGCUGUAUUCGAACUUAAGAAUUAGUAGGUCGUUCUAUAUUCCAUCAA